CCGACCUUAGCUCAGUUGGUAGAGCGGAGGACUGUAGUUGGCCAACAGCAUAUCCUUAGGUCGCUGGUUCGAAUCCGGCAGGUCGGA
rnacentral:tRNA from 1 species